rnacentral:lncRNA from 1 species
AGAAGGGGCUGCACUAAGCCUGGAAGGAGAUGGAGGCCUGGAGUUGUGGGAGAUGGUACAGGCCUGAUUCCUUUUCUUGGAGCCUAGGUUCUGCAGCAAGCUAUGGGAGAAUUAUCUGAAGUCAUGGGUUGGAGGUCGAUUGCCCAAAGAUGUAAAGAACCCACUAACUCCUCAAGUGGAAUAGAUAAAAUGUCAUCGGCAGUACCACGCAUGAGAAUGAUGAAAACUGAUCCACAGAAUCUACAUAUUUAGACUUACAUCAUGGCGAAGUUGCUGGAACCUCUUGCUGCAAUAUGUGCUAUAGUAUUUUAAAAUGAAACAUGAAGGCAGAAUGAAGGUGGCUCCAGAGAAUUUUAUGCCAACAACCUUCCCUGUCACUUUCUCAAAGUUGAAAAAUCUGAUGGAGUAUCGGAAGAAGAAAACAGAGGAAAAAAUAGAAGAAAUGGAUGGUAACAUUUUUAAAAUUUAGAUUGCUGGAAACUUCUUCCACAAAUGGUAUUGUUGACUCCCCUUAAGAAUUAGAAACAAGGAGAUCUGUAGUUGGAACUAAUGUUAUAUUCCCUUAAAAAACCCUGAUUCUCCUGGAACUAGUAUGGGAAACACUCCAGGAUACAACAUUGUAUUUCUUCAAAUUGCAACCCUCAUAUCAUUUGGACUUGCUUUUUAUUACUCACCUGGAGGAAGUGUUGAAGCCUGUCAUUUAAGUGAUAUUGGAAAAGAAGAUAGAACAUACUGAUUGGAUAGAAGGUGUCACAAUACCUAUGUCAGUUAUCUGUGUAGUGUUGGUAACUGCUUUCAAAGUCUGAAGAAAAACAAUUUCAGGGAUUGCAUUCUG